rnacentral:rRNA from 1 species
UACGUAGGGAGCAAGCGUUGUCCGGAUUUAUUGGGCGUAAAGAGCUCGUAGGCGGUUCCGUAAGUCAGGUGUGAAAAAUCUGGGCUCAACCCAGUGGAGCACCUGAUACUGCGGUGACUCGAGUCCGGUAGGGGAGUGUGGAAUUCCUGGUGUGAGCGGUGGAAAUGACGCAGAUAUCAGGAGGAACACCGACGGCGAAGGCGGUUCUCUGGGCCUUACCUGACGCUGAGGAGCGAAAGCGUGGGGAGCGAACAGG